ACGGAAGGCAGCAGUGAGGAAUAUUGGUCAAUGGGCGAGAGCCUGAACCAGCCAAGUAGCGUGAAGGAUGACUGCCCUACGGGUUGUAAACUUCUUUUAUACGGGAAUAAAAAAGGCCACGCGUGGCCUCUUGCAUGUACCGUAUGAAUAAGCAUCGGCUAAUUCUGUGCCAGCAGCCGCGGUAAUACGGAAGAUGCGAGCGUUAUCCGGAUUUAUUGGGUUUAAAGGGAGCGUAGGCGGGUCUUUAAGUCAGUGGUCAAAGCGUGUGGCUCAACCAUACCACGCCAUUGAUACUGGAGACCUUGAGUGCACUUAAGGAUGGUGGAAUUCGUCGUGUAGCGGUGAAAUGCUUAGAUAUGACGAAGAACUCCGAUUGCGAAGGCAGCUGUCCGGGGUGUAACUGACGCUAAUGCUCGAAAGCUAGGGGAGCGAACAGGAUUAGAUACCCUGGUA
rnacentral:rRNA from 1 species